rnacentral:rRNA from 1 species
AUUGAACGCUGGCGGCAGGCCUAACACAUGCAAGUCGAGCGAGCGGCGGACGGGUGAGUAAUGUCUGGGAAACUGCCUGAUGGAGGGGGAUAACUACUGGAAACGGUAGCUAAUACCGCAUACCAUCAGAUGUGCCCAGAGGGGAUGAGCUAGUAGGUGGGGUAACGGCUGACCUAGGCGACGAUCCCUAGCUGGUCUGAGAGGAUGACCAGCCACACUGGAACUGAGACACGGUCCAGACUCCUACGGGGGGCAGCGGAGGGGAAUAUUGGACAAAGGGCGCAAGCCUGAGACAGCGAUGCCGCGUGUGUGAAGAAGGCCUUCGGGUUGUAAAGCACUUUCAGCGGGGAGGCGUUACCCGCAGAAGAAGCACCGGCUAACUCCGAGCCAGCAGCCGCGGUAAUAC